rnacentral:rRNA from 1 species
CGGAGGGGACUAGCGUUGUUCGGAAUUACUGGGCGUAAAAGCGCACGUAGGCGGACCGAAAAGUUGGGGGUGAAAUCCCGGGGCUCAACCCCGGAACUGCCUUCAAAAACUAUUGGUCUGGAGUUCGAGAGAGGUGAGUGGAAUUCCGAGUGUAGAGGUGAAAUUCGUAGAUAUUCGGAGGAACACCAGUGGCGAAGGCGGCUCACUGGCUCGAUACUGACGCUGAGGUGCGAAGCGUGGGGAGCAAAACAGGAUU